rnacentral:lncRNA from 1 species
GAUCUCUUUGGAGAACUGUGCAUCCCUGCUGUUCAAACUUUAAGCAAAAGAUACAUAUCAUAUGAUACUUUUAACUGUUCUUUUCCAACGAGUUUGCAAAAAAAGGAACAAACAUUCACUAGAAGUGAAUGAGUCCUCACAUCUUAUCAGUUGACCUUGGGACUGGAGCCCAGCUGCAUCCCCAGUUUUUAUCCCCAAGCGGCCCCCCCAGACUUCGGUUGCAGCUGACUGAAGAAGAGAUCAUGUUGGCCAUUUAACUGGAACUGCAGAGAAUUGGCACAUUGCACAUGCAGCCCCUGCAGGAAUCGUAGCUGGCUACCCAUCCUUCUAGUGCUUGAAUCCCAGGCAGAUGAGGCGCUCGAGAAGAAGCAGAGGCUUAUUUAAAAGGGAUUCAGGACAGCAGGCCAUGCAAACAUUCUUGGCUUCAAGAUGUAACAUUGCUAGGAUGGACAGGCAUGUCCUACAUGCCCUGAGCGAGGACAGAAGGUAGCUCGCUGCUUCCUACCACACCACCUCUGCUGUUGAUGGGAUGAUCACCACUCAUAAGAAUGAGGCAUGCAGAAGAGCUGGAGAUGAAGUUGAAGAGGUAGCAGGUGGGACAGAUGAUGGCGUGAGAUGGAAGCCAUUGGAAGGUUUUCAGCAGAGGAGCUACAUGACCCACCUUAUGCUGUCAAAGGAUCACCCUGGAACUUAAUUGAGAAUAGGCUUUUGUGAGGCAAGAAUGGAAGCAGGGAGACCAGUUAUAAAGCCAGCACAACAGUCCGGGUGAGAGAAGAUGGCAUAUGGGACCAGAAUGGUGGCAGUAGAGGUAGUGACACGUGGUCAGAUUGCAGGUAUAUUAUGAAGAUGAGGCUGAUCAUAUGUGCUACUGAACCCAUUGUGAAGUGUAAGAGAAGAGAGGCAUCAAAAGAAGAGAAGACAUAUCAAGAGUGACAUGUUGAGAGUUUUGACUGAGAAACUAAGGAUGGAUCAUGUAGUAUAUAGUAUAUAUGUAAUGUAUAUAUAACCUAUAUGGCAUAUAUGUAAGAUACACACACAUAGUGCUCAGUACAAGUUUGCAACAUGGUAUGUAUAUGUCUUUAAUAAAGAGUCCCUCUCUCUCCUUCAUAGGGUAUAUAUAUAAAGUUCAGACUUUAAUAUUUUGUAGUUCCUUAAAGUUAGAGAUACCCUCAUGCUCAAAGGGUGACCCUGGGUGAUGCUUGCCUGAUAAUAGAGUGGAGAUGAAAGAGUGAUGUCUAUAAGGCUUGAUUCUUAGGAAACUGACAGGCACUCACAGUGAUGUCCAUCUUGGGAAAUAAUCAGAGUAAACAAGAGUAGCUCUAACAAUGUGACUUCUGAGAGAACAAUUUUUUAAGACCAAGUGCUAUUUUAGCAUGAGCCUAGGGGUAAAUGUCUAUAUAGUAGAGAGCUUUGAGACUUCUGCGUUAUCUGGGUAUAAAUAGAGCCUUUGAGCCCCUUAGAAGAAAGCUUAGGUAUUUACCGAGAUGACCAUUAUUUUCUGCUGCUGCUGACCAGUGAAAUACUUUCCAAAUGCUGUUUUAAUUCCACCAGCGCCUUUAGAUGGAUGGCUUGAUAUGCCCUUAUUUAUUAUGUGACUUACAGAAAUGACAGACCCAUCACCAACGUGACACUGUCUCCCCAUACAUCUCAGUCUGCAAAACUAGUACCAGGUACUUGUUUUUCCAGUUAACAUUCUCAACACUAAAGUAAUCUGUGUGGUUGCUACAGAAGUUAUACUUUGUCCAUUCUUGGGAUUAUAAUAGAUGUUUAAUAAAAAGAUUUGGCCAACAACUGUGUCCCUCUAUGCCAUUUUGCCUUCUUACCUAACUUCACUCAUCCCUGAGGACUCAUACAGUUAUGCCCCAAUUCUACUAUCCAUCCAGUUGGGUUCAUUGCUAGUAUAAGGUCAGUAACAUUCAGUGUUCUUGACUUGGUGUUCUUUUAAGAUAAAAAAAGAAAAUACAGGGCACUUGGGUGGCUCAGUUGGUUAAGCGCCCGACACUUGGCUCAGGUCAUAAUCUCAGGGUCGUGAGAUUGAGCCCCACUUCAGCUCUGCACUGGGCAUGGAGCCUGCUUAAGACUCCCUCUCUCCCUCUGCUCCUCCCCCCACUUUCCCUCUCCUUCUCUAAAAAGUAAAGAAAAGACAAGAAAUAAAAGAAGAUACAAGGCACUAACCAGGAGCAAACAUUAACUGGGUUAAAGCAAAACCCUUCCUUUCAGGUAAUGGAAAGUAUGUAAGAGAUGCUUUAAUGUGAUUUGAAGAUCCUUUUCCAUCUGCUUCAUUAGUCGAGUAUAGUGGCUAUUUUUAUAUUGUCAUGACUCCAGCUUUUGAAAUUUGUAAAACUAGUGUAAAGAUAGACCAAAGUACAAAAUAAAAGAUCUUCUCCAUCACCCACACUUUUUUAAUGCAGUAAUACACUUUGCAGUCCUUACACAUAAAAAGGCAAUUGUGCCAGGCACCAGGAAGCAUAAAGAGAUAAUAAAUGGCCCCCACCAUUAAGGAGUUUGUUAUCAUGGGGAGACAGAGUUAGAAGCCAAUCAUUUUAGAGACAGUAAAAGCCCAGUGAUUACCUCCAGGGGACAGUUUAGUGAUGAAUAAGUGAUGAAUGCUAUAGUCAGAUAAUGAUACAAGUUAACAUUUAUCACAUAGUUCUGAGUGUGUUACAUAUAGCAUCUCAUUUAAUCUUUACUACUGCCUUAUGAAGCAGGAUAUUUUUAUCACCAUUUUGUAGACAAUUAAAUUGAGGUAU